UCAAGUUAGAAAGGGCAAAGGGCGAAUGCUUGGCACUAGGAGCCGAUGAAGGACGCGAUAAGCUGCGAUAAGCUACGGGGAGCUGCAAAUAAGCCUUGAUCCGUAGAUGUCCGAAUGGGGAAACCCCCUUGAGCUAAUCCUCAAGGAUCCAUUACUGAAUACAUAGGUAAUGAGAAGGGAUACCGGGAGAACUGAACCAUCUAAGUACCCCGAGGAAAAGAAAGAAAACUCGAUUCCCUAAGUAGCGGCGAGCGAACGGGGAAGAGCCUAAACCAUAAAGCUAUGCUUUAUGGGGUUCGGACAACACACAAAAGGACUUUCAAGGAUAGUCGAAGGGAGCUGGAAAGCUCGACCAGAGAGGGUAAGAGUCCCGUAGACGAAAUUUGAGGAAGCCGAGUGUUGCUCCAAAGUACCACGGAACACGUGAAACUCUGUGGGAACGUGGGGGGACCACCCCCCAAGGCUAAAUACUCCCUAGUGACCGAUAGCGAACAGUACCGUGAGGGAAAGGUGAAAAGAACCCCGGGAGGGGAGUGAAAGAGAACCUGAAACCCUUUGCUUACAAGUUGUGGGAGCACGUUAAGGUGUGACCGCGUACUUUUUGUAGAACGGGCCAACGAGUUAUGGUAACAAGCAAGGUUAAGUACUCAAGGUACGGAGCCGAAGGGAAACCGAGUCUUAAGAGGGCGAAUAGUUUGUUGUCAUAGACCCGAAACCGAGCGACCUAUCCAUGGACAGGGUGAAGCGAAAGUAAAAUUUCGUGGAGGCCCGAACCGCCUGACGUUGAAAAGUCAUCGGAUGAGCUGUGGAUAGCGGUGAAAUUCCAAUCGAGCUCGGAGAUAGCUGGUUCUUGCCGAAAUAGCUUUAGGGCUAGCCUCAUUGAAGAGUUGCGGGGGUAGAGCACUGAAUGGUCUAGGGGCCAAUCAUGGUUACCAAAACCUAUCAAACUCCGAAUACCGCGGACUUGAUCAAUGGGAGUCAGACGAUGUGUGAUAAGAUUCAUCGUCGAGAGGGAAAGAGCCCAGACCACCCGCUAAGGUCCCAAAGUAUACGUUAAGUGGAAAAGGAUGUAAAGUUGCACAGACAAUCAGGAUGUUGGCUUAGAAGCAGCCACACAUUUAAAGAGUGCGUAAUAGCUCACUGAUCCAGGAACUUUGCGCCGAAGAUUUCCGGGGCUGAAACGUAUCACCGAAGCGAUGGACUCGAAAGAGUGGUAGGCAAGCAUCCUAUGUGGCGAGAAGCUGUACCGUAAGGAGCAGUGGACUGCAUAGAAGAGAGAAUGUUGGCAUGAGUAACGAGAGGCAGGUGAGAACCCUGCCCGCCGAAAACCCAAGGAUUCCUGAGGAAGGCUUGUCCGCUCAGGGUUAGUCGGGACCUAAGCUGAGGCCGAGAGGCGUAGGCGAUGGACAACAGGUGGAGAUUCCUGUACCACCGAAGGUUGUUUGAGAGAAGUGGGGACACAGAAGGAUAUGCAGAGCGCGCCGUUGGUUGAGCGCGUCCAAGCCUGUAGAGAGUCCGGGGAGGCAAAUCCCCCCGGAUGAUAAUCUCAAGGGGUGAUGGGGAGCGAAAUUUUUAGUAGCGAAGCUGCAGACUCCAAGCUGUCGAGAAAAGCCACUAUCGAGACCUGAGGUGCCCGUACCGUAAACCGACACAGGUGGGUGAGAAGAGAAUUCUAAGGCGAACGGGAGAACUAUUGUUAAGGAACUCGGCAAAAUAACCCCGUAACUUCGGGAGAAGGGGUGCCAAAGUGUGUGAGAUCUAUACGAAGGUAGCAUGCUUUGGUCGCAGAGAAUAGGCCCAAACGACUGUUUAGCAAAAACACAGGUCUCUGCUAAGUCGAAAGACGAAGUAUAGGGGCUGACACCUGCCCGGUGCUGGAAGGUUAAGGGGACAUGUUAGCUUUGGCGAAGCAUUGAACUUAAGCCCCAGUAAACGGCGGCCGUAACUAUAACGGUCCUAAGGUAGCGAAAUUCCUUGUCGGGUAAGUUCCGACCCGCACGAAAGGUGCAACGAUUUGGGCACUGUCUCAACAAUAGACCCGGUGAAAUUAUAAUACCAGUGAAGAUGCUGGUUACCUGCGACAGGACGGAAAGACCCCGUGGAGCUUUACUGUAGCUUGACAUUGGAUUUCGGUAUCGUAUGUACAGGAU
rnacentral:rRNA from 1 species